rnacentral:rRNA from 1 species
AGUGAACGCUGGCGGUAGGCCUAACACAUGCAAGUCGAACGGGAGCACAGUAAGAGCUUGCUCGAACGGGUGGCGAGUGGCGGACGGGUGAGGAAUACAGCGGAAUCUACUUUUUCGUGGGGGAUAACGUAGGGAAACGUACGCUAAUACCGCAUACGACCUACGGGUGAAAGCAGGGGAUCUUCGGAACUUGCGCGAUUGAGUGAGCCGAUGUCGGAUUAGCGAGUUGGCGGGGUAAAGGCCCACCAAGGCGACGAUCCGUAGCUGGUCUGAGAGGAUGAUCAGCCACACUGGAACUGAGACACGGUCCAGACUCCUACGGGAGGCAGCAGUGGGGAAUAUUGGACAAUGGGCGUAAGCCUGAUCCAGCCAUACCGCGUGGGUGAAGAAGGCCUUCGGGUUUUAAAGCCCUUUUGUUGGGAAAGAAAAGCAGCAGGUUAAUACCCCGCUGUUCUGACGGUACCCAAAGAAUAAGCACCGGCUAACUUCGUG